CCUACGGGAGGCAGCAGUGAGGAAUAUUGGUCAAUGGACGAGAGUCUGAACCAGCCAAGUAGCGUGAAGGAUGACUGCCCUAUGGGUUGUAAACUUCUUUUAUAUGGGAAUAAAAUGUUCCACGUGUGGGAUGUUGUAUGUACCAUAUGAAUAAGGAUCGGCUAACUCCGUGCCAGCAGCCGCGGUAAUACGGAGGAUCCGAGCGUUAUCCGGAUUUAGUGGGUUUAAAGGGAGCGUAGGUGGAUUGUUAAGUCAGUUGUGAAAGUUUGCGGCUCAACCGUAAAAUUGCAGUUGAAACUGGCAGUCUUGAGUACCGUAGAGGUGGGCGUACUUCGUGUUGUAGCGGUGAAAUGCUUCGCUAUCACGAAGAACUCCGAUUGCGAAGGCAGCUCACUGGACUGCAACUGACACUGAGGCUCGAAAGUGUGGGUAUCAAACCGGAUUAGAUACCCUGGUAGUC
rnacentral:rRNA from 1 species